AGAGUUUGAUCCUGGCUCAGAGUGAACGCUGGCGGCAGGCCUAACACAUGCAAGUCGAGCGGCAGCGCAGCAGUAGCAAUACUGUGGGCGGCGAGCGGCGGACGGGUGAGGAAUACAUCGGAAUCUACCUUCUUGUGGGGGAUAACGUAGGGAAACUUACGCUAAUACCGCAUACGACCUACGGGUGAAAGCGGCGGACCGCAAGGCGUCGCGCGAUUGGAUGAGCCCAUGUCGGAUUAGCUAGUUGGCGGGGUAAAGGCCCACCAAGGCGACGAUCCGUAGCUGGUCUGAGAGGAUGAUCAGCCACACUGGAACUGAGCCACGGUCCAGACUCCUACGGGAGGCAGCAGUGGGGAAUAUUGGACAAUGGGCGCAAGCCUGAUCCAGCCAUGCCGCGUGUGUGAAGAAGGCCUUCGGGUUGUAAAGCACUUUUGUCCGGGAAGAAAUCUUCCGACCUAAUACGUCGGGAGGAUGACGGUACCGGAAGAAUAAGCACCGGCUAACUUCGUGCCAGCAGCCGCGGCAAUACGAAGGGUGCAAGCGUUACUCGGAAUUACUGGGCGUAAAGCGUGCGUAGGUGGUUCGUUAAGUCUGCCGUGAAAGCCCCGGGCUCAACCUGGGAAUGGCGGUGGAUACUGGCGGACUAGAGUGCGGUAGAGGGUGGUGGAAUUCCCGGUGUAGCAGUGAAAUGCGUAGAGAUCGGGAGGAACAUCUGUGGCGAAGGCGGCCACCUGGACCAGCACUGACACUGAGGCACGAAAGCGUGGGGAGCAAACAGGAUUAGAUACCCUGGUAGUCCA
rnacentral:rRNA from 1 species